AGACAGUACUUCGGGCUUUGUGUUUAUCUGCCAGCCCAGUCUCUUCUUGCCCGUCAUCUUAGUGCCCACGCCAGAGAGCUGGGUCAAAUGAGGUAACAGCUCAUCCAGUUAGUAUCAGAAAUCAGCUCAACUCUCCCUCUGGACUGCAGAAAUAGCCUGGACUACUGGCUAGGUUAACUGGUUAACUUGCCCUCGUUAAAGACUAGGGCAAGAAAUCACAUCCGUUUCCUUUACAAGUGAGAUAUGCUUCCUCUAUUUUACAGUUUCAAAAUUUAGAAGUUACAGAGUGUCCAGAGCUCUGGCAAUGAUACAAUUUAGUAGGCUGCACCAUUUCAUAGUCUCGCCCUAAAAUAACAGUGGCGAAGCCUUGCGACAAAUGGUCUAACUCCCGCUCAGAUGAUGGCCUUGUUACUGGAGACACGAACAGUUGAGGCUGGCUGGCUGGCUUCUCUCACUCUUCUCUGAGCAUGAAAAGAGACUGCAUAAUUGAAGGGGUCAGACUUGACAGGAAUGUCCUGCAGUGGGGGCACAGCUCACUUGUUCAGUCAGAGCCGGUGGGUCCUGAGUUUUGCAGGUUGCAAGUACAUCCUGUGUAAAACUCAUAGAUCACAUAUGGGCUUAGACACACACUUUCCUUGCCUGUGAACGUAUUUUUGUUUCAGAAGAGCCAGUUAAGCAUGGCAGAUGGAACAAAUGUGUUUUGUAGUCACUUCCUCUGAAAAUUGCAUUAAAAUGAUAAUAAAGGCAGAGAAAGGCUUAGACUCAUGGGGCAGAAAGAACCGGGGGGGACACGAGCUACAAGCAACCGCAUUUUGGAGGGUCUAAGUCGGAUAUCUCAUGGUCACUGAUUUUGCAGACGUGAGCCGGCCAAGGAAGAUAGCCAGACGCAGGCGGAGUUGAGCCACAGACCUGAGGAAGCCUCAGAAAUUGGAGUUUCCAGCAACUUUCUGGAGGGAUAGGGAAUCCUGAGCAGGAGGUGAGAGUUCUCCAGUCUCAAGAGGCAAAGUGGAGAUCUUAGACAUGCUCGUGAGUAGCGCGCCAGCUCAGUUGAAGGCGGGGGCCACAGUGCCAAUGAGGAAGCCAGCCCAAGUCAACACACGGACCGUCCUGCAGGGCUCCUCUCCCCCAAUGUGGUGGCGCCGUCCAGUUAGAAGGUUCUUUCUGGGGGGUGCUCUGCCUCUGAUGCCC